UGGAAGCAAGCAAAAUGUAAACUAGAAACCAGUUAUGACAUGUAAGUAACCAGAUGCUGGCUAGUAGGAGGAUAGGAGAGGAUUUACUCUCAUGGCCAUUGGUGGCUCUUUGCAUGGGUGGCAGAUAGUAAUCUCUCCCCGGUCCUUGCAGAAGAUCUGUGUGAUACCUCCUCGUCCACCAGCUCAACAAAAGAACCAACAACCAAAUGGCUAUAGGUGUUGGAAUCUUCCUAUAGGUGAAAUCAUUUGUCACUUAAAAUACGGUGCCAGAGAUUCUUAUAUUGCCUACACUACUUCAAGGCUGACACCCUUUCUAGAACAAAUUACUGCUGAUCAUGUUAUUUGCAUGUGUGGCUUGGUGUGAUCUGAAUAUGCUGGUAAUUCAGAAAGAACACAAGGAACAAAUAGGAAUAGCUUUGCAGAGGAAUCUUAGCAGCCUGUUGGGAAAGCUGGGGUAUGCUUAGCUGUGUUAAAUGCCAGUGUCACCUGCUUUGGUAAAUUUGUUACACUACCAGAAAUACUCCCAACGAUGUCCACUGCAUACCUAGGCCCUUUGAGAUUGGCAAGUGCAAUAUCAGAGACCUUGAAUGCUUCUGACCACAGCAUGCUUACCUUGCAAAUAGUUUAAAUGUAGAGCUAAUGUAGAUCUUGUGAAUUUUAUUAAUUCUGGAUUCUUUAUUGUACGUCAUUUCCCUUUCAUAACUUUUUGUUGAUUCAAUCAGCAGUGGCAUGAGUAAGAUCAAUAUAGACCAAAGAACCAGCCUCUCCUUUCCCCCCCGAAAUACCUUGAGGUUAUAAGCAAGCUUAUAAUUGUUGUGAUUGCAGCCAUAAAUACAUACAGCUUAUUUCUGAAGCUCGUAGAUUUGUGUUGCUAUUAAUACUGGUUAGAAGUACAUUUAUUUUUUUUAACUUAUUUUAAAUGCUAUGAUUGAAGUGAUAGUGGUUUAGUAUAGAAACACCUAUGACAGUAUUUCUUUUCUGUGCUGGCGUAGUAGCGGUUUAAACAUCUUUGCCAGCACAGCUGCACCCAAGUCAACUGUAGUACUGGUUUCUAAAUGUAGCAACAGGUAACCGGGGACUGCAGAUUGUAGGGUGGUGUUACCAGUGCAAUGUGACACCAUGGAAAUAGACCUCUCGCUAAUUUUCUUACAUGUUUCUCAAGGUGGCAAGCAGCAUCUCUUUGUUCCCUUAAGAUACACAAAGGUGUUAAGGUGAGGAAAAGGUGAGCUUUUGAAAUGCUAAGAAUAUCACAUCUGAUCUUUCUCUAGGGAGCGAUCUGUUUAUGGUAGAUGUGAACUUGGCAGCUUUCUCGAUAUUUAUUUGAAGGGCAAGGAUAGGAAUCUUUAGCAGCUAAAAACAGUUUCCUUAAAGGAGAGGUUGAGUCCCUGGUUACUCAGCUCUUAGUUGUUUCUUUUGGUAUAUUAAUUUAGAUGCCUGUAAAAAUAAUGGAUUUUGAAGCCCAAAUUUUUAUUGUGCAUGUGACUGUUUUCCAUGGCUUUUUCGGUGUCAAAAAAGCUUAAUGUCCAAAAAUGUAUGUGAGGGAGAAGGCAGAAGGGUGAUCUGACUCCUGUCCCCCUCCUCCCCCCUCCCCGUUUCCUGCUGUGUCACCACAUUAUUUUUUUUAAUUAUUUUUACUUAGAGGACAGACUAUGAAUAGCAGACUGGAUUUUUUUUGUCUUUAGAAAAAAAAACAAAACCCAAACCAAACCUCAAGACUAUCAUAUCAGGAAGUCCUAACAAUUUUGAGCAGGUUUCAUAGCAGGACAGUGCUGUUUGGUUCACAGUAGAGUUGGAAAUGAAAGCUACAUUAUUCAUUGGCGUUCAAAGUUUUGACCUUACCUGACAUGUAAAAUGAACUACAACUGUGUACACUUAAUUAAUUGCUUUGAUGAUGGAUAACUCAUUGUGUCUGACCUCAUCUUGGAGCAAACCUGAUCUGGAAUUUGUAGUUUUAGGCAUGUGAGUUGGUGCUAGAGGGGUUAAAAAGACAGCUCAGCAGCCUGAAUAAAAUACUUGCUUGGUGGUCAGCAAGUGUGGAAAAGCCUUGAGAAGGAGGAAGGACUGGGGUAAAUAGAAGCCAAGAAGGGAAAAACAGGAAAAGAGGGGAGUUUGAGUUUUGACAGGUGGCAGUUUCACUGUCAGACUUGUAUAGAUAGACCACAGAAAGGAAUACAACCUUUAUAUACAACAGUUCAAAUUUAGAGGUUUCCUCCAGCAGGGUGAUCUUGAGAUAAACAAAUUGGGGAAGGUGUGCUUGUUUGUUUUGUUUAAAAAUAUUUGGUCUUCGCUGAAGAGUGAAGGGUCUGAAGAAAACUGAAGUUGGAUCUGUGUUCCUGUGAGAAGAUGGUAUCUCUAAGUCAGGUAGGCAUCUUGAUUGGUAGACCUAGACUUGCUUGGUAGAUUCUUUAGGGAACAAAUUAUAGUCUGAAACUUGGCUGAACUAUUACUGUAUUUCAGAAACCAGAUUAUUUUAAAAAUAGAACAUCUUUAGACUGCGUUGGAACAAAUUAUUUAUCUGUAUAAGGUGCCUUAGUUCCAACUUUACAGAGCACAAGAAUGUAAGCUCCACUUUAAAAUAACCAUAAAUAGACUUCUUCAAUGUAUUAAAGUCAUACCUUUUACAGGCAGCAUGUUCCAACAUCUGACACUUUCCAUGAGAAAGCUGGGAAUCAUCCCUUCCAACUGGCAGAGAGCUGCUGCUCCCGGCCCUGCAGAGCCACAGGGAACAAAGCACUGAAGUCAUGAUGCACCUACAAGUGAAUGUGUCAUUACUCCUCCCCUUACUCUGCCAACCCCAGCCUUGAAGAGCGGUUUGCACACAUUUCUCCUCAACAAGUGGAGGUGACAUAAGACAAUACAAAUGACACUUCUUUGUUGCUAAUUGCAUUCUUGUCAAUUUAACACAGGGCUCUCCAUCCAUGGCUAUCCCGGCAGUUUGUGAUGAUAAAAUGUAUUAUACUUGGCCACGUCGCAUCUCUGCUUUACAGAGGAGAACAUGAAAGCAAGUGGUGGGGUUGCUGACCUGCGGUGUCCAAAGGAGGAGGUGUGAUACAUCACUAGAGACCCCGAGAUCAGGCUCAGCAGGAUCCUACAUCCACACUGGAUUUGCUUUACCCAACAGCUAUUUCUCCUUGCAUCUCAGAGGCCCGCGGAUAUUACGUCAUGGUUCAUGGAGGUGAAAGAACUAUUCCUCAGACUCAGUGAAUUGGACUGUGGGUCUGGGCCCCACAGUUGGGAUUUUCCUAAGUGCCUCAAGGACAUCAGGAGUCCAGGUCAGCAGCAUUCCAGCUGCUAGCCAGAGCUCUCCAAAAGGGGCAGCAGUCUCUCCUUCUGCUGGUACUGACCACCAGAGAAUCAGUAUCUGGCCUCUCUAGACAGUCCAGCCAUUCCAUGCCUCUGGCCAAAGAUGGAAUUUACCAGAGCUGGAAUUAAACACAGCAUCUAGUGCUUCUGCCUGAAGUGUUGGGUUUUGAUUGCACUUGGCUUUGUUCCUUCUAUGUCUUUUUCCCAGUAAAGCUUCAGAUCACACUGGAUCUUUAG